GCUGGGUGUGGCAGUACACACCUGUAGUCCUAACUACAAAGGAAGAUGAGGCAGGAGGAUUACUUGAGCCCAGGGGUUUGGGGCCAGCCUGGGCAACACAGAAAGACACCAUCUCAA
rnacentral:sRNA from 1 species